GACGAACGCUGGCGGCGUGCUUAACACAUGCAAGUCGAACGAUGAAGCUAGAGCUUGCUCUGGUGAAUUAGUGGCGAACGGGUGAGUAACACGUGAGUAACCUGCCCCGAACUCUGGGAUAACUGCUGGAAACGGUAGCUAAUACUGGAUACGACCUACGAAGGCAUCUUCUGUAGGUGGAAAGAAUUUCGGUUCGGGAUGGACUCGCGGCCUAUCAGCUUGUUGGUGAGGUAAUGGCUCACCAAGGCGACGACGGGUAGCCGGCCUGAGAGGGUGACCGGCCACACUGGGACUGAGACACGUCCCAGACUCCGACGGGAGGCAGCAGUGGGGAAUAUUGCGCAAUGGGCGCAAGCCUGAUGCAGCAACGCCGCGUGAGGGAUGACGGCCUUCGGGUUGUAAACCUCUUUUAGUAGGGAAGAAGCGAAAGUGACGGUACCUGCAGAAAAAGCACCGGCUAACUACGUGCCAGCCGCCGCGGUAA
rnacentral:rRNA from 1 species